GCCUAGGUGGCGGAAUUGGUAGACGCGCUAGCUUUAGGAGCUAGUGCUUGCAAAAGCUUGGGAGUUCGAGUCUCCCCCUAGGCA
rnacentral:tRNA from 1 species